CGGACGCGUGUCAACAUAUAGCCGCUCGAAUCUGUUCACAGUUAUCUUGAAGUGGCUGGCGUACGUCUAUUUUUCUAAGCGAUAAUCUUAUGCGUAUUUACGCAUGGGUAUAGUGAACUAAACAGUAGCAUUAUGUUUUUGAUGAAAGGAAAUUAUAGAUCUUUAGAAAUCUUAUUUUCCGUUUAACGAUAAUGGUCGAGUCAGAACGAAUUUCAAUCUUUCAAUGGCAUUACCAGAUGAAUCAGAAAGCUUUUUAUAUAUUUUAUAUAUUUUUUAUAACAUCUUAUACACGAUGCCUAAAAGUUCCAGAAAGAACAUGUUCGAUAGUGAUGACGAACAUUAUUUUGAAUCUGACAAGAUAGAUGACGACAACAGUGCUUCAGACAGUAGAAACGAACUCUGUUCAACAAUGAAUCGGCUCAGACUUUCAAUAUUUCUAGUAAUAGUGACAAUGACGAUGAAUUAAAUAUUGAUGAAAAUAAUACAAGCCUCGACAAUGAAUAACGCAAACGUUCAACGUGUAUAUUUUCUCAACUGCGCGCGCCAAUACCUCUCGCCACAGCGAUGUUCGCUCGUCGAGCGGCUUCGUCCGCAAAGAGUUAA